GAUGAACGCUGGCGGCGUGCCUAAUACAUGCAAGUCGAGCGAACAGACGAGGAGCUUGCUCCUCUGACGUUAGCGGCGGACGGGUGAGUAACACGUGGAUAACCUACCUAUAAGACUGGGAUAACUUCGGGAAACCGGAGCUAAUACCGGAUAAUAUAUUGAACCGCAUGGUUCAAUAGUGAAAGACGGUUUUGCUGUCACUUAUAGAUGGAUCCGCGCCGCAUUAGCUAGUUGGUAAGGUAACGGCUUACCAAGGCAACGAUGCGUAGCCGACCUGAGAGGGUGAGCGGCCACACUGGAACUGAGACACGGUCCAGACUCCUACGGGAGGAAGCAGUAGGGAAUCUUCCGCAAUGGGCGAAAGCCUGACGGAGCAACGCCGCGUGAGUGAUGAAGGUCUUCGGAUCGUAAAACUCUGUUAUUAGGGAAGAACAAAUGUGUAAGUAACUAUGCACGUCUUGACGGUACCUAAUCAGAAAGCCACGGCUAACUACGUG
rnacentral:rRNA from 1 species